CAGCUUGUUGGUGAGGUUAUGGCUUACCAAGGCGACGACGGGUAGCCGGCCUGAGAGGGUGUCCGGCCACACUGGGACUGAGAUACGGCCCAGACUCCUACGGGAGGCAGCAGUGGGGAAUAUUGCACAAUGGGCGCAAGCCUGAUGCAGCGACGCCGCGUGGGGGAUGACGGCCUUCGGGUUGUAAACCUCUUUCAGCUAUGACGAAGCGCAAGUGACGGUAGUAGCAGAAGAAGCACCGGCCAACUACGUGCCAGCAGCCGCGGUAAUACGUAGGGUGCGAGCGUUGUCCGGAAUUACUGGGCGUAAAGAGCUCGUAGGUGGUUAGUCGCGUUGUUCGUGAAAACCUGAGGCUUAACCUUGGGCGUGCGGGCGAUACGGGCAGACUGGAGUACUGCAGGGGAGACUGGAAUUCCUGGUGUAGCGGUGGAAUGCGCAGAUAUCAGGAGGAACACCGGUGGCGAAGGCGGGUCUCUGGGCAGUAACUGACGCUGAGGAGCGAAAGCGUGGGGAGCGAACAGGAAUAGAUACCCUGGUAGUCCACGCCGUAAACGGUGGGUACUAGGUGUGGGUUUCCUUCCUUGGGAUCCGUGCCGUAGCUAACGCAUUAA
rnacentral:rRNA from 1 species